ensembl:lncRNA
GUUCAGCAGUCUAAUGACUUGGGGGUAGAAGCUGUUCAGCAGUCUGAUGGCUUGGAGGUAGAAGCUGUUCAGCAGUCUAAUGACUUGGGGGUAGAAGCUGUUCAGCAGUCUAAUGACUUGGGGGUAGAAGCUGUUCAGCAGUCUGAUGGCUUGGAGGUAGAAGCUGUUCAGCAGUCUAAUGACUUGGGGGUAGAAGCUGUUCAGCAGUCUAAUGACUUGGGGGUAGAAGCUGUUCAGCAGUCUGAUGGCUUGGGGGUAGAAGCUGUUCAGCAGUCUGAUGACUUGGGGGUAGAAGCUGUUCAGCAGUCUAAUGACUUGGGGGUAGAAGAUGUUCAGCAGUCUAAUGACUUGGGGGUAGAAGAUGUUCAGCAGUCUAAUGACUUGGGGGUAGAAGCUGUUCAGCAGUCUAAUGACUUGGGGGUAGAAGCUGUUCAGCAGUCUAAUGACUUGGGGGUAGAAGCUGUUCAGCAGUCUAAUGACUUGGGGGUAGAAGCUGUUCAGCA